rnacentral:rRNA from 1 species
CCUACGGGAGGCUGCAGUAGGGAAUAUUGGACAAUGGGCGAAAGCCUGAUCCAGCCAUGCCGCGUGAUAGAUGAAGGCCCUCUGGGUUGUAAAUCUCUUUUAUCUGGGAAGAAACAAUCUUAUUCUUAAGAUCUUGACGGUACCAGAGGAAUAAGCACCGGCUAACUCCGUGCCAGCAGCCGCGGUAAUACGGAGGGUGCAAGCGUUAUUCGGAUUCACUGGUUUGAAAGCGUGCGUAGGCGGCAGUAGUGAAAGCUCCGAGCUUAACUUGGAAACUGCCAUUGAUACUGCCAGUCGUGAAUGUCGUAGAGGUAAGCGGAAUGUUGCAUGUAGCGGUGAAAUGCUUAGAUAUGGUACAGAACACCAAUUGCGAAGGCAGCUUACUAUGCGAUGAUUGACGCUGAGGCACGAAAGCGUGGGGAGCAAACAGGAUUAGAUACCCCAGUAGUC